rnacentral:ncRNA from 1 species
ACAAUAGAGGCGCGUUGAUUAUCAGUAGCUGCAUGGAGAUUGCAUAGUCCAUGAGAUGCAGUGAAAGGAUGAGACGCCGAAACCGGAGUGUGAUGCGCACGCACCGAGUUGGGCUGCAGUUUAAGAGAUUGCAGACUCUCACAGAAAUGUGUUGGAG